GUCAUGCAGAGAACCUUGUGCAGAGGACCAGGGUUCAGUUCCCCCUACCAACAUGGUGGCUUACAACCAUCUGUAACUCCAGUUUCUGACCUCUGAGGGAACCCGGCAGGCAUCAGCUGUGCAUAGAUGCAGGGAAAACACAAUGCACUUAAAAGAAGAAUAAGUCGUAAUAAGGAUCUUGGUAAUCUCUUCUCCCUACUCUGAGAUGUCAUGCGUUUAUGGCAGUUAAGGUCUGAAGAGGAGGUGCAUCACUAUUCCCACUCCAGCUGCAUCCUAUCCGAUCAAAACCUCCCAACAGACUACAAUACACCGUUCUCUUCUCUUCCUGCUAUUCUCCCUAGAAGUGUGAUAACCAGCAGCAUGAGGUAGAGAGCAUUUGCAUGUGGAUGCAUUAGGCAAUGCUCACAAACAGAAGGAAAUUGCACAUGGAAGCUCAGCUUCAAGCCGAAGCCUUUGAUUCCUGAUUUCUGAAGAGACUGAAGAGCCCGGCCACAGAGAAGUGAUCCGCGUGUGUCACGGCGCCUGGGACAUUUAGCUGAAGAACCAAGUCAGCUCCUGAGGAGCGGGGUGGUUUGGAUGAGAGAUGUGCCCUAGAGGCUCAGGGCUAUCUGUUCUUGUUUGGUGGCUGUUUGGGGCAGUGCUGGAGGAACUGUGUCACUGGGGAAGAGGUUUGUGUGCUCUCAGCCCCGAGAGCGAGAGUGUUCCAGUCCCUUGAUUCCUGUUGCUGCUAGUCAGCCUGCUUGCCUGCUGGACUCCGGUGCCCCUGGAGCCGUGCGUCAGA